rnacentral:rRNA from 1 species
GAUGAACGCUGGCGGCGUGCCUAAUACAUGCAAGUCGAGCGAACAGACGAGGAGCUUGCUCCUCUGACGUUAGCGGCGGACGGGUGAGUAACACGUGGAUAACCUACCUAUAAGACUGAGAUAACUUCGGGAAACCGGAGCUAAUACCGGAUAAUAUAUUGAACCGCAUGGUUCAAUAGUGAAAGACGGUUUUGCUGUCACUUAUAGAUGGAUCCGCGCCGCAUUAGCUAGUUGGUAAGGUAACGGCUUACCAAGGCAACGAUGCGUAGCCGACCUGAGAGGGUGAUCGGCCACACUGGAACUGAGACACGGUCCAGACUCCUACGGGAGGCAGCAGUAGGGAAUCUUCCGCAAUGGGCGAAAGCCUGACGGAGCAACGCCGCGUGAGUGAUGAAGGUCUUCGGAUCGUAAAACUCUGUUAUUAGGGAAGAACAAAUGUGUAAGUAACUAUGCACGUCUUGACGGUACCUAAUCAGAAAGCCACGGCUAACUACGU